UGGGGAUGCGGAGCCGCUGAGCCAGUCUGGGUGGCCUCCUAGUCGAAGCAGAAGGACUUCUGUGGUUCCCAGAGGGCCCGCACACAGUGAGGUGUGGUUGUGAGAUGCACGAGCUGAACUCUGAAGUGGGAUUUGUUCCUGGCCCUUGACGACGACCGAGCACAGAUGUCCCUUGGGAACCCAGGAGGGGUCAUGAUCAUAGCAGUCAGCUGGUCCAGAAUUCCCCGGGUCUUAGGGACAAUUACCUGGAUGACUCGCCAGACAAGCAGUCCCAGGAGCCCACUGUGGAGACUCAUCACAAACCCCAAAGCCCAAGUCACAGGUCAUUAAAUAACUGAAAAUGCACAGCAAGACAGAGUGGAGGGGUACCAGAGGGAACCCAAGGCCCUGACGGAGGGAUGCACAGACCCAGCCGUUGGGAUCCCAGGGUGUGCAGAGCUGGCCCCCAUCCACCAUCACCAGUGACACUACAGUGACAAAGGCCAGAACGAGGUGUGAGUGAGAAGUCCCCGGCAGAGGGUGCCAGAGCUAGUGAGACACAGGGACACACUGGGCUCCACACAGCCUCAGGUCCUUGAUUACACUAUUGAUCAGCCGCGGGUUCUGUUUGUGUGUCUUGGGAGAGAACUCAGAGGCCCUGGUGUGGAGCACAGGUCCCGUGCUUCUCUCACCUGGUACAUCCUGAGUGUGUUCUCUUGUGCUUAGAGCUUCGCCUGUCUCAUUACGGUUAUUUUCUCCUGGAUAUUAGGGUCCUCCUGGUGUGCCCAUUCUUUUCUCUCCAUAUUCAACCUACCAUGCUCUCCUCUCUCGUCAGGACUCCUCUUAACACAUGUUCUCAGUUUCCUUCAUCCCGUUUGCUGCUUCUAUGGCAUAAUGGAAGCACUGAGCAUCAUCUGCCUGC
rnacentral:lncRNA from 1 species